GAUGAAGAACGUAGCGAAAUGCGAUAAGUAAUGUGAAUUGCAGAAUUCAGUGAAUCAUCGAAUCUUUGAACGCACAUUGCGCCCGCCAGUAUUCUGGCGGGCAUGCCUGUUCGAGCGUCAUUACAACCCUCAGGCCCCCGGGCCUGGCGUUGGGGAUCGGCAGAAGCCCCCUGUGGGCACACGCCGUCCCUCAAAUACAGUGGCGGUCCCGCCGCAGCUUCCAUUGCGUAGUAGCUAACACCUCGCAACUGGAGAGCGGCGCGGCCAUGCCGUAAAACACCCAACUUCUGAAUGUUGACCUCGAAUCAGGUAGGAAUACCCGCUGAACUUAAGCAUAUCAAUAAGCGGAAGA
rnacentral:misc_RNA from 1 species